rnacentral:rRNA from 1 species
UACAGAGGGUGCAAGCGUUGCUCGGAAUUACUGGGCGUAAAGCGUGCGCAGGCGGCUUCUCAAGUCAGGGGUGAAAGCCCAGAGCUCAACUCUGGAAUUGCCUUUGAGACUGAGUGGCUUGAGUACGAGAGAGGUGAGUGGAACUGCGAGUGUAGAGGUGAAAUUCGUAGAUAUUCGCAAGAACACCAGUGGCGAAGGCGGCUCACUGGCCCGAUACUGACGCUGAGGCACGAAAGCGUGGGGAGCAAACAGG